rnacentral:rRNA from 1 species
UGCCAGCAGCCGCGGUAAUACGGAGACUGCAAGCGUUAUUCGGAUUCACUGGGCGUAAAGGGUGCGCAGGCGGUUAUGUGUGUCAGGUGUGAAAUCUCGGAGCUCAACUCCGAAACUGCGCCUGAAACUACAUGACUAGAGUAUCGGAGAGGUGAGCGGAAUUCAUGGUGUAGCAGUGAAAUGCGUAGAUAUCAUGAGGAACACCAGAGGCGAAGGCGGCUCACUGGACGAUUACUGACGCUCAGGCACGAAAGCAUGGGUAGCGAAAGGGAUUAGAUA